rnacentral:rRNA from 1 species
GACGAACGCUGGCGGCGUGCUUAACACAUGCAAGUCGAGCGGUAAGGCCCUUUCGGGGGUACGACGAGCGGCGAACGGGUGGAGUAACACGUGGGUGACCUGCCCUCAGCUCUGGGAUAAGCCUGGGAAACCGGGUCUAAUACUGGAUAUGACUCCAUGACGCAUGUUGUGGGGUGGAAAGCCUUGUGCGGCUGAGGAUGGGCCCGCGGCCUAUCAGCUUGUU